AAGGACAUCAUCUUACCUGUCUUUUACCCUUUUUUGGAAGCAUCUAAAGAAAAACUGGGUUUUAUGAAGGUAUAUGAAGAUAUCUUCUGAUAUAUGAAGAAUUGACAGCUUUCUCAGCAGGGAAGAUUGGCCUCUUUACAUUGGAAGACCUCUGUCUGUGGUGUAUGCGUUUCAGAGCCUUCCCACCUGCUUUUGACAAGCUGGGCGAAAUAUAUCAGUGAGUAACAUGAUUUUGACAUAAAAGUAGAAUUGUAUGUGGUCAGGAAUAAUUGAAUAAGUGAAUUCACAGUUCAAUUUGAAAA
rnacentral:lncRNA from 1 species